ACACGUGACACUCCCUGGUGCUGCCACAUGUCGCGCUGUGUGUUUUUGUUUUUCCGAAAACCUUUAUUUAAUUCCAGAAAUUGUUUUAAGCUUCAGAAAAUCAUAAUAAAUCAACCGGAGCUCUGAAAAUUAUGAAACCAGUUUCAUAAUUCUUCUAAAAUCAUGAUCUACGCAUUAGAGUAGGUUUUGUUAUGAGUUGGAUCUUAUUUGAGUAGUUUUGUGCAUUUUUGCACUUUGGCCCCUAUAGUAAUCUGUAAUUAUGAUUAGGUCCUGCUGCUGAAGAGAAGACCGACGACCAGGACUACCAGGAGGCCCAGGAGUUCUACGAGGAGCACUCAGUUUGGCAAGAUGCAGGAUCCGAUCAGGAGUUCGACGCCAACACCGACGGAUGGUACGAUUGAAGACUUAGAAGCUCGUGCUACGCUCAAGUGCUGCCUGUCGAGUUGAAGUUCGAGAUGAAGGAUGGCCUGAAGACCAGCUACCGCUUCUGUUUUCUGUUUGUUCCAUUUAACCCAAUGGGCUUGUAAUAAAUUCGUACUGCAGAUCCUACGGAUCUUGUAAUAAUUAAAUCCAUGUUUGAACCUGUUUUAAGUGAGUAUGAACUGAUUUACUGCCUGAAAUGAGUUCUGUAUGUGAUA